AAAGACCUGGUAGACAUGACCAGUAGCUGAGAUAUUUUGUUGAAAUCUUAGUUGUUCGUAGUUUCUUCCUUAGUUCGGGGUCUUUACUUUCGGCACAAGUGCUCGAUCGAGGGUUCUCCCCGUUGUUUGCAGGAUUCGAAGGUGCAAACGAGCCUCCAUAUCAUCAAGAUUGACUUUUUAAUGAUUGUAGAAAUUGUCCCUCCAAGAGGGUCUGCUGAUUUUGUCUCAUGGCCAUCAAGAAGGUAAUCAUGGUAUGGAAAUGUAGUUUGAGGCUGCUGCAUGAUGGGCCAGGAGUUGCUGUUGGCAAAUUGUUUUUUCGGGAGACUAUGCUAUGACUGUACGUGCUCAAAUUAUAUCUGCGUGUAUUUUCAUGUGUAUGUUGUGUCAGCAAUACUAGCUAUAAAAGUUGGACAAUGGCGGAUUAAUUCUCUGGACACAGAUACAGCAAUGUCAAUAGUCAGCAAAAUUCAUCAACAGAAUAUAUAGAAGUUCAAAAUCAUUUUA